CAAGCUCCUCAGAGGAUUCUCUUUCGCAGCCAGAGUUGAGAAUCACUGAGGUUUUCAGCCAAGACAGCAGGAGGGGCUGGUGCGGUUGGCCUUGCCAUAGCUGCAGGACAUCCCUGUGGAGAGGUUUGUUCACUCACAGGUGUGGACCACCAUGACUGCCACCCUGGAGGCUUCCACCAAGCAGACCAUAACUGGACAGGAGGAUGCUCUGUGACGACACCGUCUCACCAGGGGAAUGAGUAGCACACUUUCGUUUCCUUGGAGCCAAACAACAAUCGUGCUCGCCUUUUACUGAGAGCUUCCUGAGUGCUGGGAACAGGGUCGGAUGCAUCAUCUUGUGGCAUCCCUCCCUCUGCCGACACACGGUGAUUUCAGCUGUUUUUGUCUAGGAAGAUUUCUAAUUCUUCUAGAACUCAAAGUUCUUAGGGAAACGCCAUAUCAAGUAAGUGUUUUUAUAUCUAGGUUUUCAAACCUUUGUAUUCCUGUGACUCUGGGAGCUUUGGAAGGUGCUAUGGACGGGCUGUUGGGAGCUUCGGGCUGGGUCUCUGAGGGCGUCCUUGGAGCAAGACUGUGGCAGGCUCCAGGGAUGAGAUGCAGAGGAGAGGAGCUGCCAGGGGUGGCACUGCCAGGGAAAGGCGUUUCAUUUCUCCUCUCUGGGCGACAUCAGGGAGGAAUCCGGACAGUGACCUGGGCUGAGGAACUAUGGGGUCCCGGUGCUGUAAGUGCUUCAGGCCUGUAGCCCCGGGAUGGGCGCUGAGGGAGAUCAGAAUGUCCUGAGAUUCCCAGGGUGAGCAGCAGGCAAGCGGAGCAUCCAGGGAGCUCAACACACAGCCCGCAUCUGUGGCCACAUCUGCGCCAGCUGCCCAUCACUCUCAAGAGAGCCGUGUGGCGGAGGAUGGGAGGGUUCCAACUUCAUAGAUGGGACAAAUAAUUCAGUGUCAUUUCAGCUAAGCGCCCUUUACUUCCGUAGUCCAGAUGGGCACACAGCCACCUGGAGAGAGAAGCCAACGACCAACAUAUUCCAGAGAGAUUAAUUACCAGGGGAAGCUGUUAAAAAAAAAUGAGAAUUACAGAGGAAUUGGUGUCACCAAAGUGAGCCUCGUCGUAACAGCGACAAGUAUAGAGUUUUAUCGCAGCAGAAUGGCAUCCUUGUUGCGCAGUCUGUAACGCAGAGAAGUGGCACCAGAGUUAAACGCGGUUUGUCCCCAAGUUCAUGAGCUGGGAGCUGGCUCCCCAGUGGAACAGCAUGGACAGGUAGUGGGAUCGUUGAGACACAAGUCCUAGAAGGAGGUAAUGGGUCAUGACUCACGUGUGAAGGGAUUAAUGCAGGUCUCACCAGAGUAGAUCGGUUCCCCAGAGAGCAGGUUCUUGUGAAAGACAGAGGGCGUCUCCUGCGUCCAUGCUCAGCUGCUCUCUUUCUUACACACUUUCUGGCUGUGUGAUGCAAUCCACCAUGAGGUAAGGAUCAGAAGCUGAUGCCAACACCAUACUCCUGGACCUCCAGAGCUAGAAGCUGAGUAAACCUCUUUUCUUUCAAUAACACCAAGCCCCAGAUAUUUUGUUACAGCAACACCAAGCCAAUAAGAUAAGUGGACUUCAGUCUACAAAGGUAUUUGCUGAGAACAUUUUAGGUUAAGUAGAAUUGUUUUACAAAUAGCUUCUUCUCAUCUUCAGUGUGCAAUACAAUGGAAAUCACCAGGGAUGUCUGGAAAACAUCUCUACAUUGGAAAUAUUUAGGUAUCUCAGAAAAUUGAAUUAAUUCACUGCAGGAAAAAAAAGUUCUCUUACUUGGCAGGUAUUUUCCAAACAGGACAAAUACAUUCAAAGUAAUUUUUGUUUCAGUGGCUGCUACAAGAAGCUAUAAAAAUUACUGGCACUAUCGUAAGUUUGUUUUGGAGGAUAAAGCAUAUGAAGCAGAAAGAAUAAUCCUUAUUACUUAACAAAUAUGCAGCCAACCUGCCCCUAGCCCUCGUCCUCCAUGAGUGUCCCCUCUACUGUGUCCCCAAGACCUCGGUCCCCCAUGCCCCUGCUGCUCCUCACGAGAGUGCUAACGCCCAGCCUUGCAGGCUGAAAGGCAGGGACAGCCACUGCCCGCCCAGGUAGGGGUGGGCGGGAGGGAGGAGCCCCGUCCAGAUGCACUGGAGCUCACUGUCUGCCUGGGUGACACACCUUCCCAAGUGGGCUGUGUGCCUCGGCCACAUGCAGACCGCUCUUGCUUUACAAUGCUUUGACUUGUAAUGUUCUGACCUGCCAGUGGGGCAAAAGUGAUAGAUCCUCAGGAUAAAUCAUACUUCAAAUUGUGAAUUUCGCUUUGCUCCCAGGAAAGCCAGGUUUGGCACGGUUGCCCUGGCGAUGCUGGGUGCCAUCGCUGAGCCACAGCUCUGUCAGAGGGAGCCGACAGGCUGUCUACAUGGCAGCAGGGUCUGAAUGACCACCCGGCGGCAGGACACGCCUGGCCCUCCUGGGUUCCCCUGAGGGACGAGGAAUUGUCUUAGGACCCAUAGGAAAAGUGGGAUGUAGUUAAUGUAUCUAAGUGAGAAAACUUUCUUUUCUAACUUUUUUUUUAAUUAGCAGGAGUGUGUGACCCACAGGUUGGACACAGCUGCUCCACAGCAUGCUGUUUUGCUCUUAGGUGGGUGAAUUUGAUAUCGACUUCUGAUAUUUUCCACUCAGGAUGGGUUUAUGGGAUGUAAGCUCUUCCCAGGUCCAGGAACAUCUGUAAUAGAUACCACAAAUGGUGUAAACAGCUAUUUUGAAUUUCAAAUAUUCUAGUAGGACAAAUGGAUAGAUUUCCCUAAUUAUUCAUUGUGAUACGUUCCAGUCUUCUUGUUUGAGAAGGAAUUUCUCACCCACUCUGUGGGUCUCUCUCUGCUUCCUGGAGCAAGGACCCAGUGCCACCCUGGACCUGGGGCCACCGCAGGAAGAAGAGGUAGCAGAGACUGAAGCAGGGCCUACAAAGACCAGGAAUGUCCCAAGAUCCCAGGGCCCAGAAAACCCAGGAAUUCCUCCUCACCUCCACCCAGUGACCACUUUUCUCUCUCCCUUCUCUCAAAAACAUAGCCGCUUUAACUUCUUUCCUUGGGCCUAUGUUAACGGACGUUCCUUUAGUCUCGAGAACAAAAUCAUGUCGUCUUGGUUAAGUGGCAUUUCACUGUGACCGCUGGUCCCUGGCCACCAACUGAGGCCCGAGUAAGCAGAGACGGCCCACCCUGUGCCCCCACCACAUGCGCCCCUGCCCCACACCUGCUCCUGCGUGGCUAAUGUGGGAAACCUUGGGAUGGUGAGAGGAACAGUAAGUAGCUGGGCUGGUGUCUGGAGUGUCCCUAGAUGAAACUGUUCAGGCGGAACCAUCACACGGGUCACAAGGCACCUUCCUAAAGGGAAGAGCCAGCGUUUACACCAGGUAAACUGGGGUGUGGACUGGGAAUUGAGUCCCAUCGAAAUAGCUGCUGGAAGAAACCUGUGCAUUUAACAUCCUCCUCGGCUUGACCAUCUGCAACACACUGACAAGGCGCCUACUGGAGAGCUCUUAUUUAUUAACUCUUUUACUAAGUGGUAUUGAUUAUCCCCAUGUGGCAGAUGGGGGAAAGAGGGGGCCUGGGGGAUUUCUGCACCUCACUUAGGUAUGUGUGUUACGAUACUGAGAAACAGAUCUUCGGUCUUCUCUCCAAUUCCUGCCACGGGACUCCUAAGACUCUUGGAACCGCCUGAGUGGUAGGCGUGAGAGGAGCGUGUUAGGCUGUUUGUAAUAAACUCCUUGUAAGCAAAUCUGAAAAGCGCCUGUAAGGUAUCUUUUAGUGGAUGCCUUGGGGGUGUGUGUGGGUGUGUGUGUGUGUGUACAUGCAGAGCUGGGGAUUGAGUCCAAGACUUGUGCACUGAGCUACUCCCCCAGCCCUUUUUAUAUUUUUUGUUUUGAAGGAGGCUCUUGGUGAGUUAGUUGCCCAGGCUGGGGUUAAAUUUGCAGUCUUCCUGCCUCAGCCUCCAGAGUGCUGGGAUUACAGGCAUGUGCUGCCAUGCUUCACCAUUUUUAUUCCUGAAGCCUGAUUUUUAUCUGCCUCAACCCUCAGACGACAGUCCAGGCUGACUAUGAUGGUGCACACUUGUACUCCCUGCUUUUCAAGGCUGAAGCAAGAGGAUCCCACGUUCAAACACAGCCUGAGCAACUCAGUGAGCCCUUCCCUUCGAGUGAAAUGCUUGCCCGGAAUGCACAAGGCCUUGAAUUCAAACCUAAGCACUGCAAACAGAGGCAGCGCGUGUGUCUAGAGGACCCACACACCCAACCCCAGAGGAAGGGAGAGGGGCCGUGGGUCGAGUGGCCACUGGCCGGGGAUUUAA
ensembl:lncRNA